GAUGAAGAACGUAGCGAAAUGCGAUACUUGGUGUGAAUUGCAGAAUCCCGUGAACCAUCGAGUCUUUGAACGCAAGUUGCGCCCGAAGCCAUUAGGCCGAGGGCACGCCUGCCUGGGCGUCACACGUCGUUGCCCCCCCAUCUACUCCUUCGGGAUUGCGGGGGGCGGAUGAUGGCCUCCCGUGCGCCUCGUCGCGCGGUUGGCAUAAAUGCCAAGUCCUCGGCGACGCACGCCACGACAAUCGGUGGUUGCGAAACCUCGGUUGCCCGUCGUGUGCGGUCGUCGCGCAUCGAGGGCUCGAAAAAAUUGCCGGGCUCCGGCUCGACUUUCAACGCGACCCCAGGUCAGGCGGGGUUACCCGCUGAGUUUAAGCAUAUCAAUAAGCGGAGGA
rnacentral:misc_RNA from 1 species